AUUUAUUUUGCAAAACCAAAGGAGUUUGAACAUUUUAUACAAGUAUGUGUUAGAUGAUGGGAGUAUUAUUUUUCAAAAAAAAAAGGGUUGAGGUGUUAGUUAAAAGUUGGGAAAAAAAUGAAAUUAGAUGCGAAGCAUUAUAAAUGUUCCUUUGAGAUGAUGCCACGUGUUCCCAACGGAGGUCGACCAUCAUGUUAUACCGUUGAAACGAGGAGAAACGGAGAACAAAGUUUGAAACGUUCCUGGAGGGAAAGAAUGACGUGUCAAAGGGUGAUUGGAUGACAUAGCUGCCGUUGAUAGCAAAGUCUUCCACGUCAUCAGUCAGAAAACAAAGGAGCACAUGCUUCGUGACUUUUGCCAAUCUUCUCUUCCCACCCUAACACGCCACGUUUCUUCUACAUGUUUGCCACGUGGUUUUUCCUUAUCCACCCACCAGAAUAGUACAAAAAGAAUUGUUCUUUUUUUUUUUUGUUUAUCAAAAACAAAAUUUGUUUUGCUUAAUUGGCUAACUUCGUUUUUAUCUAAAUAGUUUUUUUUUUAAGAAAAAGGUUUAUAGUAUGUUAUCCAUUAACAAAAAGAGAAACUAGUAUUUUGUGUAGUUUCUAAUAGAAUUCACUGAUAUAUUAUUGGUUGUUGUAUGAUUUGAAGUUAUUCCACAUGUACCUGGACUAAACUCUAGUAAUUACUUUUUUUUUUUGAAAAUAACUCUAGUAAUUAC
rnacentral:lncRNA from 1 species